rnacentral:rRNA from 1 species
UAAAUGACUCUCGGCAACGGAUAUCUCGGCUCACGCAUCGAUGAAGAACGUAGCAAAAUGCGAUACUUGGUGUGAAUUGCAGAAUCCCGUGAACCAUCGAGUUUUUGAACGCAAGUUGCGCCCGAAGCCAUCUGGUUGAGGGCACGUCUGCCUGGGCGUCCCGC